UUUUUUUUAAUUUUUAAGUUUUAUUGAAGUGUAGUUGAUGUAGAAGGUUGUGAUAAUUUUUGCUGUACAACAAUGAGAUUCAGUUAUGCAUGUACUCACAUCUGUUCUCUUUCAGAUUCUUUUCUCAUUAGAUUAUUACAGAAUAUUGGGUACAGUUCUCUGUGCUAUACAGCAGGUCCCCAUUGGCCAAUCACUCCAUAUACCUCAAUGUGCACAUGCCAAUCCCAAACCCCCAGUCCAUCUACCCUCCCCCACCUAUUCCCAUUAAAAUUUUUCUCCUUUUUUUUGUUUAUUAAGACAAACCAAAAAUAAUUAAACCAAAAACACAGGUCUUUCAAAAAUCAGACUCUGUGUAUUACCCUUCCUUUUUGCUGUCAGCACAGACUUAUAGACUAUUCCCCUGAAAUCAUAAAUUGCACCACUGUUCUCUUUUCCAUUAUUGCUUCUGUUAUCAUUAUGGUCAUUUUCAAAUUCCAGGGAGAAGAUCCAUCUCCACAGUGGCCUUGUAGCUUUGGGACCUCCUCAAAAACAAUGGUCUUCUCCACAUCCAUUCACUCUGUGCAUCUAGUACAGAUUUUGUCACCACCCUAAAUCUUGCAUUUCUGAACUCAGUGUUAGGCAUCUGACUUCCAACUCCCAUCUCAUACUUCUAGUUCCCUUUUUCUAGUAUUUCCACUCCAACAAACUUUCCAACUUAUUAAGACAUACAGUCUGUUGACUAUCAAAUUUAUUCUCCUUAUUCUUCCUUACCUUUCCUCACUCAUAAAAAAUUUGUACGCUAAUGUUAAAAGAAAGUUCAGAAGAGCUUUUCUUGAUAUAAAUAUUUUAUUGAGUGAGAAAUAAACUAUUAACGAACAAGGAUACUUCAAACCUGAAAGUGGUAGGAAGCUCAGAGGCAUGACAUUACAGGAUGGCUUAUGAAGUGAAAAUGAAGAAGCUAUUUAACCCUGAAAAUGACUGGAUUUUACAGUGGGAAUUUCCAGAUGGCAGGGGAUUGGUUAAAAGUGAUGAUUUCAUGCCACUUUAGAAGGAUGACUUAAAUUUCAUUUAUGAUUAUCAGAGGCGUGUACAAGAAAUGAUUUUUGUUUCUGUUCAUGAAAUGAACUAGACUAAGUUUUGCUUACUGGAUUUGUCUGCCUGGAGAAUCUUCAAACCUGGUCUCUAUUUUAUAUUAUUUGAAUAUAUAUCUUCUAUUCUAUUUAAAAUAUGAAACUCCUCUUUGAUCUAAUUUCCACCUCCAUUACUUUUGAAGUAACCAUAAUAAUGAAUGUUUUUUAAUGUUUAAAUUAAAAAAAAUCAUUUCAUGAAUUUAUUUUCACUUUUAGUACAUAUGUACGCACCCCUAGUGAUAUGUAGAAUUUGUUAGCAUGUUUUUAGAGUGUGUAGAAUUGUAUUAUACUCCAUAUAUUUAAUCAGCUGCAUUAUGCUUGCUAAAUUCCCUUGUCUUGGUUCAUGGAUUCCAAUUCCAUUUUCACUUGUUGCACAUUAUCUCAUUGAAUAAAUAUGCUAUAAUAUAUUCAUUUUUCUGCUAUUAAUGGAUAUUAUAUUGUCUAUUGUUAUUAUGAAAGUUGUUCUUUUCGGUUACAAACAAUGCUGGUCGUAUAGGUUCUUUCCUUUUGUACUGUGGCACACUAUUUAAUCUAAUGUUUAACUAUGGUGGACCCCUCAGAAUACACCUAAUUUGGCUCUUGUCUUAGUCCAUUCAGGCUGCUAUAACAGAAUACCAUAUGUGGUGAGGUCUCUAGUUCAUAAAUGGCUGUCUUCUCUCUUUUUUAUUUAUUUAUUUAUUUAUUUGUUUUUAAAGCAUAUGGAAGUUCCUGGGCUAGGGGUUGAAUCAAAGCUACAGCUACCAUCCCACGCCACAGCCACAGCAAUGCGGGAUCUGAGUCGCAUCUGUGACCUACAUCACAGCUCUCAGAAAUGCCAGAUCACCAACCCCCUGAGAGAGGCCAGGGAUCAAACCUGCAUCCUUGUAGAUACUAAUUGGAUUUGUUUCUGCUGAGCCCCAAUGGGAACUCCCACGGUCAUCUUCUCUUUCUGUCCUCACAUGGUAGAAGGGAGGGAGCUCUCUGCAGUCUGUCUGUCUGUCUGUCUUUCUUUUUUUCUGUUUUUUGCCCCUCUUGUGGCAUGUGGAAGUUCCCGGGCCGGGGAUCAAACCUGUGCCACCACAGCAACCUGAGCCACUACCGUGACAAUGCUGAUCUUUAACUCUCUGCACCACAAGGGGACUCCUGCAGAUUCUUUUAUAGACACUAAUCUCAUUCAUGAGGGUUUGACCUUAUAACCUAAUCACCUCUCAAAGGCCUCAUGUCCAAACGCCAUCACAUUCGGAGUUAGGUUUCAACAUGUGAAUUUUGCAGAGGACUCAAAUAUCCAGUCCACAGCAGCUGUACUGAAUUAUUUUUAAAGGACAUUGUGUAUUUAACUUACUAAAAUGUUUUUAUCCAUGUUCAUAAAUGAGAUCCCCUGUGAUCUGCUUUUUCCUUAUAUAUGCCCUUUUAUCAUAUUUAUGGGAGAAAAGCAAACUCCCCAUCCUGAUAUAAUGAGUUGGAUCCUUUGUUUUAUCAUUCCCUGGAAGAGUUUGUACAGAUUGAAAUUACCUAUAACUUGAAUGUUUUCUAGAUAUUGCCAAUAAAACAGUCUUAGUGUGAUGUGUUUUUAUGGAUAGAUUUUAAAUAGCUUAUUCAAAAUAUUUAAUAGGCCUUUUUAGAUCUUUAUUUUUUAUUUAAAGUUAGCUUUUACAAGUUAUCUCUUCUUAGAAUAUAAUUUCCUCUUAUAUUUCAAAAUUAUUAUCCUGAGAUGUUUUAGCAUUAUUUAUUAUCUUAUUAAUCUCUCCUUAAUCUGUAGUUAUAUAACUCUGUUCAUUCCAAAUAGGUAUGUAUUUGUAGCUUCUCUCUCUCUUUUUUUUUUUCUUCUCUUCUUAGGCCUCUUCAAAGGUUUAGUACUUUUUCAGCUUUACCAAAGAACAUGCUUUUGGUUUUGUUGAUCUUUUUUAUGAAUGUUUGUUUUUAAUUUCAUUUAUUUCCAUUUAUCUUUAUGGCUUUAUCCAUUCUACAUUCUUGUUGAUUAUUUAUCUUUUCUUUGUUGUAAUAGCUCAUUAAUUUUGAAACAUUCUUCUAAGUGCUACUAUAGCUAUUACUCAAAAGUCUUGCUAGAUUGUAUUUUUGCCAUUGAUGUGUUCUAACCAUUUCUCUUAUGAUUCUUUGGGCCCUGAAUUAUUUAGAGUGUGUUUUUAAUUUCCAGAUCUAUUUAUUGUUUCAGUAGUUUUAUAACAGAUGUCUUCUUCAACUGUAUUGUGGUCAGAGUAUAUGAAUGGUAUUAAUUAUAUAAAAUUUGUUGCAACUUAUAAGUUCAACUUUAAUGAAUAGAUUGUGAUAAAAAUUGUCCAGAAGAUUGUUUUUUAAAAUCUAGAUCCCAGGUCAAGUUUAAUAAAUAUUAUUGUCAUCCUUCUGGAAAACUAAUAUUUUUGUAAAUCACAUUUAAAAAAAGUUUAUUGGAAUAUAGCUGACUUACAAUGUUGUAUUAGUUUCAGGUGUACAGCAAAGUGAAUUAGUUAUUUUAUAUAUAAAUAUAAAUGGAUGGAUGUGUAUAUAUAUAUAUCCAUCCAUUCUUUUUUCCCAUAUAGGUUAUUACAAACUAUUGAGUAGAUUUCCCUACUAUACAAUAGGUUCUUGUUAAUUAUCUAUUUUGUACAGUAGUGUGUAUAUGCUAUUCCCAUCCUCCAAAUUCCUUCCUCCCCAGCCAUGAUUUCCCCUAAGGUAACCCUAAGAUUGGUUUUGAAAUCUGUGAGUUUGUUUCUGGUUUACAAAUAAUUUUUUGGUAUCAUUUUUAUUAUAUUCUGUGUAUAAAUUAUCUCAUAUGAUAUUUAUCUUUCUCAGUCUAACUUACUUCACUCAUCAUGAUAAUAUCUAGGACUAUCCAUGUUGUUGCAAAUGGCAUUAUUUCAUUCUUUUUUAUGGCUGGGUAAUAUUCCAUUGUGUAUAUGUACCACAUCUUCUUUUUCCAUUUUUCUAUCAAUGGACAUUUAGGUGCUUCUAUAUCUUGGCUAUCGUAAACAGUGCUGCAGUGAACACUGGGGUACAUGUAUCUUUUUGAAUUAUGGUCUUGUCUGGAUAAAUGCCUAGAAGUGGGAUUGCUGGAUCUUAUGGUAGUUCUAUAUUUAGUUUUAUGAGGAACUUCCUUACUGUUCUCAUAGUGGCUGCACAAAGUUAUAUUCCCAUCAACAGUGUAGGAGGGUUCCCUUUUCUCUAUACCCUCUCCAGAACCUGUUUGUAGACUUAAAAAAUUUUUUUCUCUUAGGGCCACACCUGUGGCAUACGGAAGUUCCCAGGCAUUUGUGACCUACACCACAGCUCACAGAAACACCAGAUGCUUAACCUACUGAGUGAGGCCAAGGAUCAAACCCACAUCCUCAUGCAUACUAGUCAGAUUCUUCACCUACUAAACCACUAUGGGAACUCCUGUUGUAGACUUUUUGGUUGUUGCUGUGCUGACUGGUGUGUGGUGAUACCUCUUUGUAGUUUUGAUUUAUGAAGCAACCAACAAUGGAUUAAUCUCCAUAAUAUACAAACAUCUCAUACAGCUUUAUAUCAAAAAAUAUAACUCUAUCAAAAAUGGGCAGAAGAUUCAAAUAAACAUUUCUCCAAAGACAGACAGAUGGACAAAACCCACAUAAAAUGCUGCUCAAGAUCACUAAUUAUUAAAGAAAUGUAAAUGACAUUUAAGGCAGGUUUAGGUAUGUGUCUACUACCCAAACCUUAUGGCCAUUAAAACCUGCAUAUCAGAUGGAGAAAUGCUUUUGGAUCAACAGAACUUAAACAACUGCUUCCCCUUAUGUUUUCAGUUUCCUUUUUGCUUUGGAGCUCUGAAGAGUUCUGUUAUUUUUGUGUGUGUGUGAGUUCUUCCAUAGAGUGGAGAGGAUGUUUGCUAUAUUUUAUCAAACAUUUCAAAUUCUUUUUUUAAACUGAGGAUUUCAGAUUAUUGAGAACACCACACUGCCAGAUAUAGAACUCCCACUUCCUCUUCACUAAUUUUAUCUAAGAUUUUAUGUCCUCCACUUACUAACUCCUCUUUAACAAAAACAGUGGUUAAUUCUCUAUCCCAUCUUAAUUGACCUCUUAUAUAGAUUUGAUGUGUUUGUUGAUGUUUCCCUUAAAUUUUUUUUUUUUCACCUUGGACUUCGAGACACGACAUCUCCCUGUUUUUCCCCCACUCCACUGGAUAUCCUUCUGUCUUUUUGCAGAAACCACCUUCUCCAUCAGCCUUCUCAAUUUGGUUUUGUUCCAGGGGCUGGUCCUCAGCCCUCUUUUCUAUCCUAAGUGAUCCUACCUAUCCCAUGGCUUCACCUGGCCUGUUAUACCUUGACUACUCCUGAGUUGUUAUCUUUUAGUUCCUCUUAACUUUUCAGGUUAAGAUGCACUUAUUCGGCUCAAUAGCUCCUCCCAGAUGUUAUGGUAGGCUGAAAAAUCCACCCCCUCCCCCCAAAAAAAUCUAUGUCCUAAUUCCUGGAACCUGUGAAUGUGACUUAUUUAGAAACAGAGCCUUUGCAGAUGUGAAAGAAUUCAGGGUUUUGAGGUGGGGAAAUCAUUCUGGAUUAUCCAUGUGAAAUCUAAACAUAAUAAUACAUUUUCUAAUAAGAGAGAGACCAAAAAAAGGACACACAGACAGAAGACAGAAGAGGAGAAGACAAGGUGACUGUGUAGCAGACACUAAAGGCAGGAACUGGCAAGGAAUGGGUUAUACCUGAGUCG
rnacentral:lncRNA from 1 species